rnacentral:lncRNA from 1 species
UGUUGUUGUUGUUGUUGUUGUUGUUGUUGUUGUUGUUGUUGUUGUUGUUGUGAAGCAUGUGCAAGGGUGGGACAUUUCAUGUGGGGGUGGAUGGGAUAGGGACCGGAAAUUAAAGCAACACUCACCCUCGUGACGGUAAUUAAUUGCGGGUCACCCAUCAGCAUUUGCCACAAUCUUAUCUAAACGUUAAUGCGUAUCCAACCAGUCAUAUCUGUGAGGCGCCGACAAAUCCAAGUCGCUCUGCUCGUUCUCUUCUUUUGGAUAUAAGCGAGUCCAGAUUCCCGGUUUAGUGAUGAGCAAGUGGAACUAAAACAUUAGACGGUACUCUUGUGAGAAUUAGGAGGCCAUGUCCGCCAGCUCUAACUCUCGUCCCUCCUCCUCCCCUCAAAGGUAUUCGAACUAACUGAAAAAAUACCAGAUCGAUCUUCUUUUGUUUCUUGAGCCUGCCAUUGCGUUGAUACCAAGACCAAGCCAAGAUCACUUGGUCGAGAAGACGAGAAGAAAGUUUAGCCAUCAUAUCUAUGUUUUAUAAUUUCUCCUGAUUUCUAGUUAUUAGUCAUGUGUAACUGGUUAAAUCAACUUUCAUAUAUAUAUAUAUAUAUA